rnacentral:rRNA from 1 species
CGGGACGCAGCAGUGGGGAAUCUUGCGCAAUGCACGAAAGUGUGACGCAGCAACGCCGCGUGGAGGAAGAAGGCUCUCGGGUCGUAAACUCCUUUCAGUUGGGACGAAGCUUCGUCGGUUAAUAGCCGGCUGGAGUGACGGUACCUUCACAAGAAGCACCGGCUAACUACGUGCCAGCAGCCGCGGUAAUACGUAGGGUGCAAGCGUUGUCCGGAAUCAUUGGGCGUAAAGAGCGUGUAGGCGGCCCGAUCAGUCCGCUGUGAAAGUCCAGGGCUCAACCCUGGAAUGCCGGUGGAUACUGUCGGGCUCGAGUCCGGAAGAGGCGAGUGGAAUUCCUGGUGUAGCGGUGAAAUGCGCAGAUAUCAGGAAGAACACCAACGGCGAAGGCAGCUCGCUGGGACGGUACUGACGCUGAGACGCGAAAGCGUGGGGAGCAAACAGGAUUAGAUACCCGCGU